CAGCACCUUUAAAUUUCUCUGCCUGGCACAGCUGUGACAUUACUGCCAAGAAAAGUUGGCAUUCAGUUCCAGGAGGCCACAAAGACUGAAACAAACUGUCCAUAUGUGAGGCAAAAAUGCAAGUCAGUCUUUAUUACUGCACUCAAAAAUAUCCCUUUGUGUUUCACUCACAGCUUAGCCAGCAAGGGCUCAAACUCUCACCCCUUGUGCAGGGGAAUUCCAAGGCUGAUGGCAUCCAGCAUUUUCCCAAGAGACGAAACAGCUCUGCUGCUGCCACAGCCAGGAGGUGCUCACCCUACCGCUGCCUACAUGGUUGGAGCUACUGCAGCAUCUCUCCUGACAAAAGCGAUCCACCCAUUCUUCACACUGAACUCUCUCUCGUUUCCAGCACUGUGUCACGUAACGCGGCUGGCCCACCGCAAGCCCCCAUCACUACGCUGCUAUUCAAGUCAGUCGUUUGCAGCACACUAUCCUGAUCUGAGCAAACCCCACCCGGCCAUCAUCCAAUAUACAACGGGAAACUCAUGAAAUAAAAAAGAUUCGCAUCCACAAAUACACUGAAAAUAUCUUGCAAGGUAUGUUGUGUACACCUGUUAUCCUAGCACCGUGGUAGGCUGAAGCAAGAGAAUAGCAAGUUUGAAUCCAGCCUGGACAGGGUGGCAACUUAACAAGACUGACCCUG
rnacentral:lncRNA from 1 species